GACGAAGGGGGCUAGCGUUGUUCGGAAUUACUGGGCGUAAAGCGCGUGUAGGCGGUUGCCCAAGUCGGGUGUGAAAGCCUUGAGCUCAACUCAAGAAAUGCACUCGGUACUGGGUGACUAGAGGACCGGAGAGGAUAGUGGAAUUCCCAGUGUAGUGGUGAAAUACGUAGAGAUUGGGAAGAACACCAGUGGCGAAGGCGGCUAUCUGGACGGUUUCUGACGCUAAGACGCGAAAGCGUGGGGAGCAAACAGGG
rnacentral:rRNA from 1 species